GACGAACGCUGGCGGCGUGCUUAACACAUGCAAGUCGAACGAUGAAGCUGGAGCUUGCUCUGGUGGAUUAGUGGCGAACGGGUGAGUAACACGUGAGUAACCUGCCCUGGACUCUGGGAUAACCCCGAGAAAUCGGAGCUAAUACCGGAUAGGACCUCGGAUCGCAUGAUCUGGGGUGGAAAGUUUUUCGGUCUGGGAUGGACUCGCGGCCUAUCAGCUUGUUGGUGAGGUAAUGGCUCACCAAGGCGUCGACGGGUAGCCGGCCUGAGAGGGUGACCGGCGACACUGGGACUGGGACACGGCCCAGACUCCUACGGGAGGCAGCAGUGGGGAAUAUUGCACAAUGGGCGCAAGCCUGAUGCAGCAACGCCGCGUGCGGGAUGACGGCCUUCGGGUUGUAGACCGCUUUUAGUAAGGAAGAAGCCGCAAGGUGACGGUACUUGCAGAAAAAGGACCGGCUAACUACGUGCCAGCCGCCGCCGUAACAC
rnacentral:rRNA from 1 species